rnacentral:tRNA from 1 species
GCGGGGAGGCUGUUGGUCGCCUGGGGAGUCUCAUACGCUCCCCGACGUGGGUUCAAUUCCCGCCCCCGCU